UCCAGGUGGUGGAAACAUGGCCUCAUGAUCAACUUCCUGUCCAGCAUGUUGAGUUGAAGUCGGGUUCCAGUCCAAGUGCCAUCGGGGGACUCGGCCACCAAGAUCCUCCACCUGCUGGGCAAAGAGAAGAGUUCCACAUGAAUGUGCAGAAGGUCUCCCGGAGAAGUCUCUGACCACCAGUCCACUCUGAAGGCUUCAGUCGUUUGAUACGAGGAUGGUUCUUGUUGCAGUAACUCUAAGCUUGGGACCUGUUGGAAAGACAGACUUAAUGACUUUUGUUUGUUGUUCCAGGUGGUGGAAACAUGGCCUCAUGAUCAACUUCCUGUCCAGCAUGUUGAGUUGAAGUCGGGUUCCAGUCCAAGUGCCAUCGGGGGACUCGGCCACCAAGAUCCUCCACCUGCUGGGCAAAGAGAAGAGUUCCACAUGAAUGUGCAGAAGGUCUCCCGGAGAAGUCUCUGACCACCAGUCCACUCUGAAGGCUUCAGUCGUUUGAUACGAGGAUGGUUCUUGUUGCAGUAACUCUAAGCUUGGGACCUGUUGGAAAGACAGACUUAAUGACUUUUGUUUGUUGU